rnacentral:lncRNA from 1 species
GGAACAGGAAUUUGACCACUAGGCAGAAGUUUCUGAAGAACAUGUUUUCGCAAAAUCUAGUAAAACUGUAAAUACUUAGUGACUGAACUCUCCACUUCUGGGACCUCCUAGAGAAAUUCUCAAAUGUGUUUUAUAAGCAGUGCUUAUAGAAAUCAAGAAUAGAUGGAGACUGGAACUCCCACAAAUCCCUGUGAGGGAACAAACAGGUAUGGAGAUCCAUAUGAUGGGAUGCUAUGUGGUCACCAGAAUGCAUGAAUCGACUGCACGUGUCAAUACAGCCAGACCUUGAACAGCCAAUGUUAAAGGAGGUCUUUGUCAAUUUGAAGUGGCAGGCAUAUAAAUUCUUUAUGGCUUUCCCCCUUCCAAGGGUGGGGGAGUAGAAGGAUAACUAAGCCAUUAAGAGCACUAGCUACUCUUGCAGAAGGCUGGGGUUUAGUUCCUAGCACCACAUGGUGGCUCACAACCAUCUGAAAUUUGUGUUCCAGGGAUUCUGGCAUCCUCUUGUGGCCUCCAAAGGACCAGGCACACAACAGGUGCAAAAACAUACAUGCAGACAAAAUAUUCAAACAAAUAAAAGUAAAUUUUAAAACACUCUAAAGCAGAGCUGAGGUUCUUCUGUGUCCUCUUUCCUUCCAGCGACUGCUUCUGCCUAACUUCUCUUCAGGGAGGUUUCCACAGAUUACAGAAGUACCUUUUUAGUACCCAGGGCACAUUCCAUCCUGUCUCGAAGUCCCUUUCUUCAGCUUCUUCUAGAACUUCUGGUGAACAAGGGUGCUAAGAGCAAAGCACUUCUAAGAUUCAACCACUCAAACUCUGAAACAAAUGUUGGAGGGCUACUCCAUCCGCAUGGCCGCAACCCAACAUGGCAUUUACCUCAAAAGACCCAGUGACUGCUCCCAAAAGCAGUGUGGACGGAUUGUGGGAAGACACAGCAUGAUGGAGCUCCUGAAGUAAGAAGAUACAAGUUACGAUCUAAGCUGAAAGGCUGGUCAGGAAGGAAAGGGAAGACUGUGGCCAGGAAUCAAAAAACCUAGACAAAGAGUUGCAUGGUGGCAAACAGACUUAUAUGGGCCUGGGCUAUAGACCAGAGAGCUCACAAAAGGUGGUAAAGGACAGACCUUCCCAGUGCCCAGCCUUUUCCUGUGCUUCCCAUUGGCUGAAAUCGAAGGAAAGCCAGAAACUUGGCAUCAUGGGAUGUCAUCUGACAAAGGGAAGAAUGGCUCUGGCAUGAGGAUGGGGAAAAGGAAAGUAAGCAACCAAAUAAUUAAAGGAAUUAGAGGAAUCUAAGUUGUGAAGUUAGUGAGCAAGAGACACACAGCUUUGUUUGGAAGAACAGGAGAGACCUGAAGCAGGGACACUGUUAAGGAAAUGGAAACUAAAGGGGAAGAAUAUGGCUUGGAAUCUGGGCUCUUGCUCACUCUUGAGUAAGACUCCUGAGCCAAAUGUGAAGGAGAGAAAGAAGGGACAAAGGGAGUCAUGGUGGAACAAUACCAGUAAAGGGCUAAAAAACUCCCAUGUGUUCCUCCGAAUGGGAGUCGUAGGUAGCCAUGGUUUCAGAGCGCACAGCUGUGGGAAGAAGCUAGAAGCUGAUGAGAAGCAGGCGGGGAAGACAAGCUCUGUGGGUGAGACUUAGCAUCAGCAGGAUCCUGCUGCAAGGACCACCCUCUAGCCGGAGGCUGCCUGGGACCCCACAAGGAGAGCCUGUGCCCCUAACCAGGCUCCAGGCUGUUGGGAGAUGCCUCUGAACUGAGACCCCCAAGCUGUUUGCCUCCCUUGGUGGCCCUUCAGCAGACAAAGCCCUCAUUAAGAUUUCUUUCAGCUUCUGUCUUCUUGGAACACCUGAGACAAGAGAAUGAUGAAUGGCAGCCUGGAGAUCAGCCUGGAGCCACACCUUGCCCUUUGAGUAGCCUCUCCCAUGACAAUCAACACUUUUCUAGAGCCUGAGGAGGCUGCUGUCGCAGGAUCUGGAUCUCCUUGCACCAUCCUCUCUGUCUUCUUCUGAGAAUAUCAUUGAGCCAACCUACCUUCCUCCGGUGGGAAGAUAUACUUCUGCACAGCCCUUCCUGGGAGAUAUUUACCACCUGGAUUCCAUGUGAACUGAUUCCACCAGGAAUUUGUGCAGUGUCUAUAAAGCAGGUUCCAGCUCAUGAAGGACAAAGGCUGGCAGCAAGGACUAAGCUGAGAUUAUCAUGCCCUUGGGACUGACUUGAGUUCAAAAUGCUGUGUGACCUAAGCCAAGAAGUAGCAGAAGUCACAUUAGGAUCCUUUGUCACAUUCUGAAGGUGGAUCUCCACACCUCAUCAGACCAGCACACCUGCUUUAGUCUAGGCCUCUUCUAGAAGCCAGCAUGACAUUCCAGUGCACGCCACAUCACUGUACAAUACAUGUCUUGUGCACAGGUGUGCUGCUCUGUCCCUGUCCCCCAGCAAGGUAGCUGGAGGUGUCAACCCAAAUAGAUCCUGAAAUCUGUUCAGCACUCUCAUUCCAAUCAUGAAGGUAGCUCACCUUGACUGUAACAUUCAUCUCAUGUCAGACAUUGAUCUAUGCUUUUCAUUAGCAGAUUUAAUCCUCUCAGCAAUACAAUGAGGAAACUGAAACAUGAAGAGACCAAGUGGCUGUCCAAGUCCACAAGCUAGAAAAGGGAAGACAGCCUCCUAGCAGGGCCAAUGCUCUUAGCCACAUAUCUUAUGUACAUGGGGGCCAUGCCUAGUUUUAAAAAGACAGUUGUGUCUAUGUGUCUGCAGCUACAUCUUUAUACUGUGGGGAAAACGUGGGGCCUAGACUGAAGAAUGUGUGGGUCAGAAAGUGGCUCUCCCACCACCAAGGUUGUUGGUCAUCUCUGAACACUCAAAAUCAGGCCAAUGUUCUCUCUGUCCAUCUGCUGUGACUGGAAAGGGGUGUUCAGUGCAAUGAAUACAUUGGCUGUCUGCCUCUUUGCAGUGAUCAGACUGACAAGACCCAUCUUUGACCCUGUUGAGUUUGGGUCCAAUGAGUAUGGAGAGUAUAAGAGAGUGAGUUAAAUGGUUGUGUAGUGAGCAUCUGGCACUGCUAGGAGAUGCUCUAGAAAUCACUGAUCUCUAUUCAUUUACAUAUUUUACAUAAAAGUCCAGAAGAUGCAUUCUUGUAUCCUGUUACAGUUUGAAUGUGAAGUCUCCCCUCCCCAGCUCAUAUUUUGAAGUUUUGGGCUUUUUCCCCCCCACCACCAAGAUGACAGUGUUAUUCUGGAGGGUCGUACAAUGACUAUGAGGUGUCUGAAGUAGGCCCCUGGUGGCAGCCCUUUCAAGGUCUUGUUUGGCCCCUGCUCUGGGCCCAUUCUCCUCGCUCUCUUGUUCACCGUGCUGAGACAUCUCCUCCACACUUUUCCACUCCCAUGCCUUCCUCACCACCACUGGCUGAAAUCCCUUUUGAUAUUC